CAAUAAGCAAUACAUAACUCGGUAAUAUCAUGUACCUUGCAUACUUUUGCAUCAUUAUUUUUGAACAAUUAUAAUAGCUAAAUUAUGACUCUACAGCAUCACUGUUUUACAGUGAAAAGUAACCUCGUUGUGUUUUCUACGUGACGAUUGCGUUAUCGGAUUCAGCCAAUCAGCAGCCGGUUCAAAUUGGUUGCAUGUAACGGUGACCAGCUGUCGCGUCUUGUCUUAGGUGACUAUAAACAGGUAAGGCCCAGGUUAAAAGGGCCUUUUUUGUUAACAUUGAUGACGUAGAAGUCCUAAACAAUGUCUAGAAAUCAAGGUUCAUUUUUUCAAGCAUUUUUCACAAGUUAUGAUAGUUUACGGCUGAAAAGCCUUCCUGCCUGUGCCAAAAAGAAAACAAUGCGGAAUACAACUUCAAAUGGCAUCAGCUUGUUUUUGGAGAUCUCCGUCACAACGAAAAAGGUAAUCGCUCCUAUAUUCAUCUCAGUACCUAUAUUUAUCUCAUCACGUCACGUCUCAUUGGUUCGCACCUAGGCCGAUGUUAUACAGGGGCGAUGCGGCGCGAACUGCGUCGAAACAGUUCGCGAUGUGUUUUGACGCGC